rnacentral:rRNA from 1 species
GAAGUCGGCAAAAUCGAUCGGCAACUUCGGGAUAACGAUUGGCUCUAAGUGCUAGGGUGUUCGGGCUUGAUGAUAAAGCAGUAGACUUGCUAUUGGAGCUGAGCUUUCGGAUGCAGCAAUGUGUCUGAUCGUUCGGACUAGUGGCUUGUCUUGCUGUGGAAUCGUUUUGCUACGGUAUGCGGUUCGCUUGCGGGCCGUAUUACUUCGGACAUCGUUUAAUAGCAAACUUAGAACUCGCUGCGUCUAGGGGAAUCCGACUGUCUAAUUAAAACAGAGCUUUGCGAUUGGCCGGAAAACUUGGUGUUGACGCAAAGUGAUUUCUGCCCAGUGCUCUGAAUGUUAACGUGAAGAAAUUCAAAUAAGCGCGGGUAAACGGCGGGAGUAACUAUGACUCUCUUCUGGUAGCCAAAUGCCUCGUCAUCUAAUUAGUGACGCGCAUGAGGGGCUAAGCAGAUUCCUCCGC